CUCUAUUCAGCACGUUCCCUGGAUAAAGAUCAUACAUGUAUUGUCAUAAUACAAAUUUCCUCCCGGAUCAGACGUGUGAUUUCUGUGCUCUGUGCUGGUGAAGUCACCCUGACUCAUCAUUCUUGGAACCUGGAAAAAAAUUGCUCGUUUCGUUUUCAAGAGAACAUGUGGAGAAAGCUCAGAAACACAAUGAGCUCCCAUCAGCCCCAUCCACCCCUACCCAGCUAAGGACUGAUGGGUUUCACCAAGAGAUGUAAUCCUUGUGCCAAGCAAUGAAAUGCCCACACUGUCAUAAUUACUGGUGGUUUAAAAUGUGUGGGAGCUUUCAAGUGGAGUUUUUCCUCAUUUUUCCCUCUUAGAUGAGGGCUGCUCAUCUAAGAAUUUGAGCAGCAAGCAGUGUAAAUGUUAAAGGUUUCUAGAGGAAAUGAUGGCUUCUAAGUAUGUGCUGACUGGGUAAAACUGGAGGUCCUGUAGGAUACCUCCUAUCUCUUCUUUCUAGUUAUAGGUGAUAACCACUUGAUAAAACCAAAGCCAUGGAAAAAAAAAAAAGACCAACAAUGGAAAGAACCAACCUGCUUCUAAAAGAUGGGUUUUAUGAGUAUGACAAAUGCAGAAAAAUCAUAAAUCCAAACCGAUCAUUUGUAAGGGGUUAUCUCAGGAAUUUAUUUUCUCUCUGAUAGGGAUAAAAGCAACCAGGAGUGGGACAACAGUCCCACUUACUUUGUGAUGCUGCCCUGGAACCCCAUCACCAAGGGAACAAAACGGAUGUGGGAUGAUGCUCUCCCCACAGGCUUUCUCUUCUCCGAUGCUUCUUGGGUACCUGAACAUUCAGGAGCACCUGAUCUACCACGAUUUUCUGGAGACCAUUAAUCAGACUAAAUCAACCAUGGAAGUGCCAUGACUUUGGUUUGGAAUCUGUCAAGGAAACUCAUGCAGUCGAUCAGCACAGAAACAGAAGAAAGCUUUGAUGACAGCAAGGUUUAUUCUGAGAAGAAGGAGAAUGUGAAUUAUUCGGCCAUCUCCACAGGAUAUUUUCCAUAUUACAGAUCGAAUGAGGAGCAGUUUGUCCAGCCACUCCUAUAUGGCUUAAAUGCAGGGGGAGAGAAGCCUGAAAGCAACUGGAAAGAUGAAGGAGAAGGUGGAUGUGCAGAACUUGGUGGAGAUGCUGAGAAGACCACCCGCCCAGCUCUGGGGGAAGAGAGGAAGCUGUGUUCUUCCAUGGCCAAUAUAGAGCCAACAUCCCAGCAGCUCCUAGGAGGCAGCACCUUGGGAAGCUGCCUGCCAACCUUCACCCUCCCCACCACACUGCCAAGCCUGGACCGGCCCUUUUCUUCCACUGGCUACGUCCCUUACUACAGAACAGAAGCAGAACUCUGCAUCAGCCCAGCAAUGUGUGACAGGUUUCUCACCAGGACAGAAGUUUUGCAGAAUGAAGAGGGAAGAUGGGUGGAAGAAAAAAACACUUGGAAUUUUGGUGCCAGCUGCUUGGUGUCCUGAGAACAAAGCAGCAAGUUUGUCAGCAAAAGGCAGAAACUGGUUUAACGUAGACGUGAAUUAGAAGUUCUUGAAAGCUAUAGCCACAUGAACAGCUGUAUGAAUAUGGAAUAAGUGUACUUCUCCCUUUGAAUAAAACAGUAAGUGAAAAGCUGGACUCUGUAAUG
ensembl:lncRNA